CUUCUAUUAAUAUUAUUUAAAGACGUAAAAAAUGUGGGGAACUUGAGAAAGAAAGCCAUGGAAGGUGUCAUUGAUGGCUCACUGAUACAUCCUGCAGUGAUUGUCAAUCCAUUUGAGAUAUUUGCAGCCACAAAGAAAGCAGUUUGCCUCUACAAACUGGGAGAAAUGAAGACAAGAGCUCUAUCUACUGAAAUUAUUUUCAACCUUUCCCCAAAUAACAAUAUUUCAGAGGCAUUGAAAAAAUGUGGUAUCUCAGCAAAUGACACUUAAAUUCCAAUUGUUUAUACUAACGAGGGAGAAAAACAAAUAAAUCAAGGAUAUCUAAUAUCUCAAAUAGAAGGUCAGCAGGUUUCUCUGAAAAAUCUUCCUGAAAUAAUAAAUAUUACAAAAGUCAAAAAGAAAUAUACACUCCCUCCACAAGAAGAAAGCAUUGGGAACAUUAUUGGAUGGUAUUUGUAGAAUGUCAACAAAGAAUGUUUUG
rnacentral:lncRNA from 1 species